UGGGUCUGGCUGGCCGGUCAGCCUCACCGCGAGUACUGGUCCGGCUGGACCUUUCCUUCUGGGGAAUCUCAUGGCCUUCACUGGCUGUGGGGGGAACCAGGACUUUUACUGUGAAAAAAUUAGAGUGUUCAAAGCAGGCCUUUGCUCGAAUACAUUAGCAUGGAAUAAUAGAAUAGGACGUGCGGUUCUAUUUUGUUGGUUUCUAGGACCGCCGUAAUGAUUAAUAGGGAUAGUCGGGGGCGUCAGUAUUCAGCUGUCAGAGGUGAAAUUCUUGGAUUUGCUGAAGACUAACUACUGCGAAAGCAUUCGCCAAGGAUGUUUUCAUUAAUCAGGGAACGAAAGUUAGGGGAUCGAAGACGAUCAGAUACCGUCGUAGUCUUAACCAUAAACUAUGCCGACUAGGGAUCGGACGGUGUUUCUAUUAUGACCCGUUCGGCACCUUACGAG
rnacentral:rRNA from 1 species